rnacentral:tRNA from 1 species
AAAGGAUUAGUUAAAGUUAUAACUUGAGCUUGUCAAGCUCAUAUUGCCUGUAAGGUGUUCUUUU